rnacentral:rRNA from 1 species
UGGGGAAUAUUGCACAAUGGGCGAAAGCCUGAUGCAGCAACGCCGCGUGAGGGACGACGGCCUUCGGGUUGUAAACCUCUUUUAGCAAGGAAGAGGCGAAAGUGACGGUACUUGCAGAAAAACGCGCCGGCUAACUACGUGCCAGCAGCCGCGGUAAUACGUAGGGCGCAAGCGUUAUCCGGAAUUAUUGGGGCGUAAAGAGCUCGUAGGCGGUUUGUCGCGUCUGCUGUGAAAACCCGAGGCUCAACCUCGGGCCUGCAGUGGGUACGGGCAGACUAGAGUGCGGUAGGGGAGAUUGGAACUCCUGGUGUAGCGGUGGAAUGCGCAGAUAUCAGGAAGAACACCGAUGGCGAAGGCAGAUCUCUGGGCCGUAACUGACGCUGAGGAGCGAAAGGGUGGGGAGCAAACA